GAUCCCCAUUUUCCUCCUCGCUCGAUCUCCCCUUCCCCUCCUUCCACCUAGCGCCGCCACAACCUCCCUCUGCAGCGCCAGACCUCCACCAGCGGCUCUCCUUCGCCCCGAUGCUCCUCUGUCUCUAACCCCGGCCGGAUCAACUCGGUUUCCCGGUGCCCUCGCCUCGCACUGGCAAGUGACCCUGCCGGAGUAACAGCAACACCAUGGACCCCUCGCGCCCUUCUCCUUUCCUGCUCUCUCUCUCUCUCGCAGCUUCUGUUCCCCGAUUACUUCUCUCAAUUACUCUCUGUUUUUUUCUUCAGGACCCAGUAGCCACCAUGGACGCCAUAGCGCAGCCCUGCCUCCGUUCCCGCGACCAUGCACCGGCCAGCAGCAGGGAACUACGCGCGCCCCUGCUCGAAGAAGUUGCCGCCUCCCCGACCGGACCUGGUGCCUCGCUGUCCCAGCGCUGGACCCGGAGCCCGCAAUUCUCGUUGGACCUCUACCACGCCCCAUUCAUCACGCUGCCUGUUUGGCCUCCGUUUUUCCUCGCUGUGAGCACGUUCGGCCAUGGACGUUUUGAGCCGUUUGCCUCCUGCACACGUCGUUGCUUCCUCCAAAUCCAUCGAAGGACACCGUGCAACAAAUAACCAAGUACCCAUGGAUGCAAGUACCAA